rnacentral:rRNA from 1 species
GACAAACCGGAGUGGCCCGUCUCCUUCUCGGGUGAUGAGUGCCGCUUUGAGUUAGUCAUCCUUCCAGAGAGCGCGUCUACCGUUUACUCGGCCGGACGUUGCGAUCUGGAUCUAUUACUUUGAAAAAAUUAGAGUGUUUAAAGCAGGCAUUGCUCUGAAUACAUUAGCAUGGAAUAAUAAUUUAGGACUUCGGUUCUAUUUUGUUGGUUUCUAGGACUGAAGUA